rnacentral:misc_RNA from 1 species
UACGUAGGGGGCAAGCGUUGUCCGGAAUUAUUGGGCGUAAAGCGCGCGCAGGUGGUUCUUUCUGUAUGAUGUGACAGCCCACGGCUCAACCGUGGAGGGUCAUUGGAAACUGGGGAACUUGAGUGCAGAAGAGGAAAGUGGAAUUCCAAGUGUAGCGGUGAAAUGCGUAGAGAUUUGGCGGAACACCAGUGGCGAAGGCGACUUUCUGGUCUGUAACUGACAAUGAUGCGCGAAAGCGUGGGGAGCGAACAGG